ACCCACCGACCGUCACCCCGGCGGAGGCCGGGGCCCAGUAAACGCCAGCCAUGCCGCACCAUCACCGAAAGUGCCUCACGCUGGUGCAUACUGGAUCCCGGCCUCCGCCGGGAUGACGAUCGAGUGUGU
rnacentral:miRNA from 1 species